AACAGGAUUAGAUACCCUGGUAGUCCACGCUGUAAACGAUGUCGACUUGGAGGUUGUGCCCUUGAGGCGUGGCUUCCGGAGCUAACGCGUUAAGUCGACCGCCUGGGGAGUACGGCCGCAAGGUUAAAACUCAAAUGAAUUGACGGGGGCCCGCACAAGCGGUGGAGCAUGUGGUUUAAUUCGAUGCAACGCGAAGAACCUUACCUACUCUAGACAUCCAGAGAAUUUGCUAGAGAUAGCUUAGUGCCUUCGGGAACUCUGAGACAGGUGCUGCAUGGCUGUCGUCAGCUCGUGUUGUGAAAUGUUGGGUUAAGUCCCGCAACGAGCGCAACCCUUAUCCUUUGUUGCCAGCACGUAAUGGUGGGAACUCAAAGGAGACUGCCGGUGAUAAGCCGGAGGAAGGUGGGGAUGACGUCAAGUCAUCAUGGCCCUUACGAGUAGGGCUACACACGUGCUACAAUGGCAUAUACAAAGAGAAGCGAACUCGCGAGAGCAAGCGGACCUCAUAAAGUAUGUCGUAGUCCGGAUUGGAGUCUGCAACUCGACUCCAUGAAGUCGGAAUCGCUAGUAAUCGUAGAUCAGAAUGCUACGGUGAAUACGUUCCCGGGCCUUGUACACACCGCCCGUCACACCAUGGGAGUGGGUUGCAAAAGAAGUAGGUAGCUUAACCUUCGGGAGGGCGCUUACCACUUUGUGAUUCAUGACUGGGGUGAAGUCGUAACAAGGUAACC
rnacentral:rRNA from 1 species